CAGCGCCGCGGUAAUACGAAGGGGGCUAGCGUUGUUCGGAAUUACUGGGCGUAAAGCGCACGUAGGCGGCUUGGUAAGUUAGAGGUGAAAGCCUGGAGCUCAACUCCAGAAUUGCCUUUAAGACUGCCGAGCUAGUAGGUGAGAGAGGUAAGUGGAAUUCCGAGUGUAGAGGUGAAAUUCGUAGAUAUUCGGAAGAACACCAGUGGCGAAGGCGGCUUACUGGCUCAUUCUAGACGCUGAGGUGCGAAAGCGUGGGGAGCAAACAGGAUUAGAUACCCGGGUAGUCCCUGUCUCUUAUACA
rnacentral:rRNA from 1 species